UUGGUUUCGUUUCAUUUACAAUAGGAGCACGACCGUCCGAGAACAGCCAUACCCCGUUUAUCGUAAGUUCUACUAUCAAUCGAUUCGAUCUUCCCGCAGCCUUGAACCCGGAGGUUCCGGUAUUGCGUAGAGGAGGAAUGUAAAACGAUGGGGUUUGUUGUUAUAAAAGUAUUUGAAGACACUGCGAACUUAGCCCAGAGGCUUCAUUCAAUCAGUGUAGUCAAAGGUACGCGGGACGCAAAAAGGAAGCCGGCCGGAAGCCAACCCCCAAUUUGUUUUUGUUUAGGGUGUGGUAAUGAUCCUUCCGCAGGUUCACCUACGGAAA
rnacentral:misc_RNA from 1 species